GCCGGGUGCAGUGCUGCAUGCCUGUAAUCCCAGCAGCUCAGGAGGCUGAGGCAGGAGGAUUGCAAGUUCAAAGCCAGCCUCAGCAAUUUAGCAAGGCACUUGGCAACUCAGUGAGACCCUGUCUCUA
rnacentral:sRNA from 1 species